GUAGUGGUUAUAUUAGUUUAACUCUGAUUAGGAGGCAGACAACACAGCAUAGGUUUAGCCUGUAGGUAGUGGUUAUAUUAGUUUAACUCUGAUUACAGACAACACAGUGUAGGUUUAGCCUGUAGGUAGUGGUUAUAUUAGUUUAACUCUGUUUAGGAGGCAGACAACACAGUGUAGGUUUAGCCUGUAGGUAGUGGUUAUAUUAGUUUAACUCUGUUUAGGAGGCAGACAACAGCGUAGGUUUAGCCUGUAGGUAGUGGUUAUAUUAGUUUAACUCUGAUUAGGAGGCAGACAACACAGCGUAGGUUUAGCCUGUAGGUAGUGGUUAUAUUAGUUUAACUCUGUUUAGGAGGCAGACAACACAGCGUAGGUUUAGCCUGUAGGUAGUGGUUAUAUUUGUUUAACUCUGUUUAGGAGGCAGACAACAGCGUAGGUUUAGCCUGUAGGUAGUGGUUAUAUUAGUUUAACUCUGUUUAGGAGGCAGACAACACAGCGUAGGUUUAGCCUGUAGGUAGUGGUUAUAUUUGUUUAACUCUGAUUAGGAGGCAGACAACAGUGUAGGUUUAGCCUGUAGGUAGUGGUUAUAUUUGUUUAACUCUGAUUAGGAGGCAGACAACAGUGUAGGUUUAGCCUGUAGGUAGUGGUUAUAUUAGUUUAACUCUGUUUAGGAGGCAGACAACACAGUGUAGGUUUAGCCUGUAGGUAGUGGUUAUAUUAGUUUAACUCUGUUUAGGAGGCAGACAACAGCGUAGGUUUAGCCUGUAGGUAGUGGUUAUAUUAGUUUAACUCUGAUUAGGAGGCAGACAACACAGUGUAGGUUUAGCCUGUAGGUAGUGGUUAUAUUAGUUUAACUCUGUUUAGGAGGCAGACAACAGCGUAGGUUUAGCCUGUAGGUAGUGGUUAUAUUAGUUUAACUCUGUUUAGGAGGCAGACAACAGCGUAGGUUUAGCCUGUAGGUAGUGGUUAUAUUAGUUUAACUCUGAUUAGGAGGCAGACAACAGCGUAGGUUUAGCCUGUAGGUAGUGGUUAUAUAUGUUUAACUCUGUUUAGGAGGCAGACAACACAGCGUAGGUUUAGCCUGUAGGUAGUGGUUAUAUUAGUUUAACUCUGAUUAGGAGGCAGACAACACAGCGUAGGUUUAGCCUGUAGGUAGUGGUUAUAUUAGUUUAACUCUGAUUACAGACAACACAGUGUAGGUUUAGCCUGUAGGUAGUGGUUAUAUUAGUUUAACUCUGUUUAGGAGGCAGACAACACAGUGUAGGUUUAGCCUGUAGGUAGUGGUUAUAUUAGUUUAACUCUGAUUAGGAGGCAGACAACACAGCGUAGGUUUAGCCUGUAGGUAGUGGUUAUAUUUGUUUAACUCUGAUUAGGAGGCAGACAACAGUGUAGGUUUAGCCUGUAGGUAGUGGUUAUAUUAGUUUAACUCUGAUUAGGAGGCAGACAACACAGCGUAGGUUUAGCCUGUAGGUAGUGGUUAUAUUAGUUUAACUCUGAUUAGGAGGCAGACAACACAGUGUAGGUUUAGCCUGUAGGUAGUGGUUAUAUAUGUUUAACUCUGAUUAGGAGGCAGACAACAGCGUAGGUUUAGCCUGUAGGUAGUGGUUAUAUUAGUUUAACUCUGAUUAGGAGGCAGACAACACAGCGUAGGUUUAGCCUGUAGGUAGUGGUUAUAUUAGUUUAACUCUGAUUACAGACAACACAGUGUAGGUUUAGCCUGUAGGUAGUGGUUAUAUUAGUUUAACUCUGAUUAGGAGGCAGACA